CAUCUGGUAAACGACAUGGUUUGAUACUUGAAUAUUCUAUUAUUUAAAUAGCAUUUUAUUAGUAUUUAUAUUUGCCUACAUGGUGUAAUAUUACAUGAAUAUAUGCACUAAAUAUGUUACAGUUUUUCUUUCUACAAUGACAAUGAAGCUUAGUAUGCAAUUUUAAGCAAAAAAGAAAGCUCCAGCUCGCCAUCGUGGAGGUGAGUACAAGCAAUAUAUAUGGGAGGUUCAAGUUUCUUGAAACUGCCAGGACUUUCCAACCAUUAGUGUCAACGAAUCUCCCAAUGCCCCAUGUGUUGGCAACCCAUCAAUCAAGGUUGCUACCAGGUUCGUUGGUGUCCCCCACCUUACUAAAUUUGUAAUUCUUAGUUAUUGAAUUUGAAGAAAAUUAUAUAAUUUGCUCACUUUGGCAGCCAUGAGUUUCUGAGGUUGUGGAACGUAAUAGGAGUUUUAAGGUUUAAUCCUUCUAGGAAUGCCACCAUUUUUCAUCACCCAAUUUUGGGAUAUUUUGAACUACAGCAUGUAUGUGCUCUAUUUAUGCUGAUUUAAGGAUCCUUUCUGUAAGUUUUCACUGCCAUGUUCACUUUGCUCUUUAUAUAAUGGUUAGUUGGAAGUUUC